ACCAUUUUAGGAGUUAUUGCCCUUUAUAGUCAAUUUUUUUACAAUUUUUCUUAAAUCUUAGUAAUCUUUUAGAAAAAUCUUCUCCUCUGAAACUACUGGGCAAAUUUAACCAAACUUGGCCAUAAUCAUCAUUGGGGUAUCUAGUUUAAAAAAUGUGUCCGGUAACUCGCCCAACCAACCAAGAUGGCCGCCAUGGCUAAAAAUGGAACAUAG
rnacentral:lncRNA from 1 species